GCUUCUGGCCACACCCGCCGGUUCACGCCCGAUCUCGUUUGAUCUCGGAAGCUAAGAUAGGUUGGGCCUGGUUAGUACUUGGAUGGGGAGACUGCCUGGGAAUACCAGGUGCUGUAAGCU
rnacentral:rRNA from 1 species